CCUACGGGUGACAGCAGUGGGGAAUAUUGGACAAUGGGGGGAACCCUGAUCCAGCCAUGCCGCGUGUGUGAAGAAGGCCCUCGGGUUGUAAAGCACUUUCAGUGAGGAAGAACGCCUGGUGGUUAAUACCCAUCAGGAAAGACAUCACUCACAGAAGAAGCACUGGCUAACUCCGUGCCAGCAGCCGCGGUAAUACGGAGGGUGCGAGCGUUAAUCGGAAUUACUGGGCGUAAAGCGCGCGUAGGUGGCUUGAUAAGCCGGUUGUGAAAGCCCCGGGCUCAACCUGGGAACGGCAUCCGGAACUGUCAAGCUAGAGUGCAGGAGAGGAAGGUAGAAUUCCCGGUGUAGCGGUGAAAUGCGUAGAGAUCGGGAGGAAUACCAGUGGCGAAGGCGGCCUUCUGGACUGACACUGACACUGAGGUGCGAAAGCGUGGGUAGCAAACAGGAUUAGAUACCCGAGUAGUC
rnacentral:rRNA from 1 species